CUAGAGAUGGAUUUCAGGGAAAGUUUUUUUAAAUUUAAUAAUUAAAGUUAUUUUAAUUUGUGAAGAAACAAUUAUAUAAAUUAAGGACAAGAAGACCCUAAGAAUUUAAGAAUUCUUAUGUUACUUAAAUAUAAAAUAGGAAUUCUUAGUUGGGGCAACUAAAAAACAUUAUAAACUUUUUUUCUUUAAAAUGACCCAUUAUUAAUGAUAAUAUGAUUAAAUACUCUAGGG
rnacentral:rRNA from 1 species